GAUGAACGCUAGCGGCAGGCUUAACACAUGCAAGUCGAGGGGUAUAGUUCUUCGGAACUAGAGACCGGCGCACGGGUGCGUAACGCGUAUGCAAUCUACCUUUUGCAGAGGGAUAGCCCAGAGAAAUUUGGAUUAAUACCUCAUAGUAUAGCAGUUUCGCAUGAAACCACUAUUAAAGUCACAACGGCAAAAGAUGAGCAUGCGUCCCAUUAGCUAGUUGGUAAGGUAACGGCUUACCAAGGCUACGAUGGGUAGGGGUCCUGAGAGGGAGAUCCCCCACACUGGUACUGAGACACGGACCAGACUCCUACGGGAGGCAGCAGUGAGGAAUAUUGGACAAUGGGCGCAAGCCUGAUCCAGCCAUGCCGCGUGCAGGAUGACGGUCCUAUGGAUUGUAAACUGCUUUUGUACAGGAAGAAACACUCCCUCGUGAGGGAGCUUGACGGUACUGUAAGAAUAAGGAUCGGCUAACUCCGUGCCAGCAGCCGCGGUAAUACGGAGGAUCCAAGCGUUAUCCGGAAUCAUUGGGUUUAAAGGGUCCGUAGGCGGUUUAGUAAGUCAGUGGUGAAAGCCCAUCGCUCAACGGUGGAACGGCCAUUGAUACUGCUAGACUUGAAUUAUUAGGAAGUAACUAGAAUAUGUAGUGUAGCGGUGAAAUGCUUAGAGAUUACAUGGAAUACCAAUUGCGAAGGCAGGUUACUACUAAUGGAUGACGC
rnacentral:rRNA from 1 species